GAUGAACGCUGGCGGCGUGCCUAAUACAUGCAAGUCGAACGCACAGCGAAAGGUGCUUGCACCUUUCAAGUGAGUGGCGAACGGGUGAGUAACACGUGGACAACCUGCCUCAAGGCUGGGGAUAACAUUUGGAAACAGAUGCUAAUACCGAAUAAAACUCAGUGUCGCAUGACACAAAGUUAAAAGGAGCUUUGGCGUCACCUAGAGAUGGAUCCGCGGUGCCUUAGUUAGUUGGUGGGGUAAAGGCCUACCAAGACAAUGAUGCAUAGCCGAGUUGAGAGACUGAUCGGCCACAUUGGGACUGAGACACGGCCCAAACUCCUACGGGAGGCUGCAGUAGGGAAUCUUCCACAAUGGGCGAAAGCCUGAUGGAGCAACGCCGCGUGUGUGAUGAAGGCUUUCGGGUCGUAAAGCACUGUUGUAUGGGAAGAACAGCUAGAAUAGGGAAUGAUUUUAGUUUGACGGUACCAUACCAGAAAGGGACGGCUAAAUACGUGCCAGCCGCCGCAGUAA
rnacentral:rRNA from 1 species